AUGUUUCUCCUGAGCUGCCCACCCUCUCCAGGCUUAACUUGUGUUAGCAGAGAUAGGUCCUCCCCAGGAGCUGGGGUUAGCAUUCCAGACUGCAUUGUUCUUUUCUCUGCUUGGCUUCCCCAUCUCUGUUUCCUCAGCCUAUUGACACUACUGCUCUCUAUUCAGGAUUUAUCUUCCUGUGCCACAGUUUGGAAAAUGCCCCCGGUGGAGUGGCAGGAUGAACGUCAUGAUAUAAUCAGAUAAUCAUGAAAAUUCCAGUGCCUGCAAGAAGGGGAGAUCCCCAGCCCUGCAAACAAAACAAACCACAAAAGCAAAAUUAAUCUAAAAAAUUAAUUUUUGAUCUAACGUAAUUUUUUCAUAAAGUAUUAGUGUACUUUUGAUUUCAUUCUUUGUUCUUGCAAAAAUGGAGGGAAAUUCUUGGAAUCUGGGAUGAAAAUUGUCAUAAAGAGAAUUCUGUAAAUAGGAGGUAUCUUAUCUCUAAGUAUGAGGAAAGCAGUACUUUCGUUCAUCUAUGGUUAGUGCCUUAGGGCAGCAAUUUUCUAAAUGGUGGCCUCAUGCACAAAAUGUGCAUAUCUAUUUUAUACACUCCAGCAUUUUUAUUCCCUCUCACCUGAGGGAUCUGUCCAAAGACAAGGAAGCAGAGCUGAUAAAAAAAUCCCGGAACUAAAAAUGGAUGACUGUCCACUCCUUUGUUGUAGUAAUGUUUCAUCUUGGUACACAGCCAGGACGACUAAGCUCCUCACCCACCCCAAAGUCAAACUAGCUACAUUCCCAUGAUGUUAGCGUGUUAUUUAAGUCUGGGUCCCUGUUUUUGACCUUCAUUUGGUAAAAUAUUUGCCUUUACCUGGAAAACUGUCUUAUAACUUCCAAUUUAUCUGUAAUAGUUUGGGAUUUGAUAUGAAAAACACUUCGGGUUCAGUAGACUGAACCUUGAACCAUUGGUGAACUGCUGUGGCUUUAGGGACACAGAGUGAUGACUUUAUGAACUGAGUGUGCAAAGUAAAAUUGUGCAUGAUCCUUCAUGGCCAGCCUCCAGCCUGCCUGAGAUCUUGCCGUGUGUGCAGAGCUUUUGUGGAAGGUCGUGCUAGGACUGCGGAG
rnacentral:lncRNA from 1 species